UAAUGCUUGGGAAUCUAGCUUAUGGAGGGGGAUAACUAUGGGAAACUGUAGCUAAUACCGCGUAGAAUCGGGAGAUGAAAGUGUGGGACCUUCGGGCCACAUGCCAUAGGAUGAGCCCAAGUGGGAUUAGGUAGUUGGUGAGGUAAAGGCUCACCAAGCCGACGAUCUCUAGCUGGUCUGAGAGGAUGACCAGCCACACUGGGACUGAGACACGGCCCAG
rnacentral:rRNA from 1 species